rnacentral:rRNA from 1 species
CCUACGGGUGGCUGCAGUGGGGAAUAUUGCACAAUGGGGGGAACCCUGAUGCAGCGACGCCGCGUGGGGGAGGAAGUACUUCGGUAUGUAAAGCCCUAUCAGCAGGGAAGAAAAUGACGGUACCUGACUAAGAAGCCCCGGCUAACUACGUGCCAGCAGCCGCGGUAAUACGUAGGGGGCAAGCGUUAUCCGGAUUUACUGGGUGUAAAGGGAGCGUAGACGGGAGUGCAAGUCUGGAGUGAAAGGCUGGGGCUCAACCCCAGGACUGCUCUGGAAACUGUACGGCUGGAGUGCAGGAGAGGUAAGUGGAAUUCCUAGUGUAGCGGUGAAAUGCGUAGAGAUUAGGAGGAACACGAGUGGCGAAGGCGGCUUACUGGACUGUAACUGACGUUGAGGCUCGAAAGCGUGGGGAGCAAACAGGAUUAGAUACCCUGGUAGUC